GGCGGUGGUGGUGGCGGUGGUGCCGUUGAUGGAGGUGGUGCUCGACCACAGCCUAGCAAGGAACUGAUCUUCAAGAACACGCCCCCUGAGGUUUUGCCGCCCAUUUCCUCCUCUGGUGACUCCGCCUACUCUCAGACGCCGGUGACUUCGUCGUCGCAUAUGGCCAACGGCACCGGGUCCUUCUCCACCACAGGCGCGCCUCAGGGUCUCCACAAGGCCAGUUACCGGGACCCCCAGACCGUGGUCGGGUACUUUGAUGCCCAGUUCCCCGGGGACGUCCGGCGCUUUCAUGCGACCGCUGCGUGGCACCGGUGGGCGGGGUCUCGUGGCGCUUGGCUACCCCCAACCCCAGAGAGGGUAUCCACCGCUGGGCUUCCAGAACAAGACCACCCCAGUGGGAAGCAUGCAACGGGCCCAAACACCGCAAUGGACGCUCUCCCACGACCAGGAGCAUUUCCUGAUCCAUCCUCCCGACGUAGGCGAGGACGUCUUCCCCCAAGACGGCCGCAGGUGGACGGGAGAGGUGCAGCUCCGGCGCUCGGGCUCCCACCCGGUCCUGCCACCCAUAGGUGACGACGGGCGGUCGGGUGGGGGGGGGGAGCCCCAGCCACGCUCCGGGUCCGUCAGCCCCCUGAGGAGGAGCUCCGAGCCCCCCUGCCCCAGCGGCUACCUGGCACAGAUGGAGAGGCAGAGGCAGCUCAAGGAGAGAGUCGCCUACAAGGCAGAGAGAACGAGACGACAGAGGCUGUAUUCAAAUGUGAUCCGGGAGCGGAACAAAAAGACGAGCACGGCCCACGUCCUCCCGCCCCGGGACCCGGAAGACCCGGACAAGACGGUUCCCAGGAGGAAGGCAUUGGAAUAUGCCAAGAGUAUCGCCAAGCCCCACCCAAAGCCCCGACCUAAAAAGCACCAGGACCAUUCAGGGGGUGGCCUGCACUGUGACGCCCACCUGGAAGGCCUGGAGCUGGCCCAGCUGGAAGCGCUGGAAGACAUGAGGAGACGCCACGAGGAGGAGAAGCGGGCCGUGGCCGCCUUCCAGAAGGGGCGCUUGGUCUGAGGUGCGCCUGACUGUCCUGCCGGUCCAAAACAGAACCACGACUCAGAGGAAGAGACGUCCACAUCACAUGACUGUUUACCACCCCGUGCAGGUGUAAUAAAUACAGCUGCAUCACGCCUAGUGCACUGUCAACAACAACAACAACAACAACAACAACAACAACAACAACAACAACAACCACCAUCACAACAAAAACCAUGAGAAGCAGAAGGAUGCCCAGCAGAAUGAUUAGUACAGACAGAUGAGUCCUUUUACUUGUGAAGGCACAAAUGCUGGCUGACACAGGAGUUAAGUCUUCGGCAAAUGAUUACGGAGCAAAUGUGUGAAAGCGUUCGCGAUCAGCGACACAUCUAAGUCUGUUUCGGCUGACUCCUGUCAUAGAAACACGGUUUGGUUACAUACAUUUUCCAUACAAAAGUUUUGCAUAGUAUACUUUUGAUUAGUACAUACUAUAUACUUGUACUGUACAUUCAACUGUAUAAUGGAACAUGUGGCCGUGGUUAUACUUAUCUGCAAGUAUCGAAUCAUCAUCAAUCAUCAACAAACAUCACCCCGACACACACACACCACCGGAUUCUGUGUUGAUGCUGAAACAUUCAUAAUGAAAAACGCUUCACACUCGAGUGUUUAUCCUGCAAAAUCACGGACGUUGUUGACAUUUCGAAGACCCCCCCUCUGGCUCCAAAGCUUUUGAGAAUGCUGCACCUAUUUUUGGUACAAGUACAGAUUUUUUUACAGUUAUUUAUUUAUGAAAAAGGUAAAUAAUCCUAGGUGGAUUAAUAAUAGUUAAUAGAUAAUAAGCCUUGCCUGAUAGACCUCCAUGAUGCACAGCCACUGUCGGCUGGGGUGAGUGACCUCACCCCAGCCUGACCGGGAGAGAAACAGAGAAACGGUUUCUCUUCUAUACACUGAUAAUGAGAUAUCAGGUGACAUGUAGAAGCGCACGUGAUCGGUUCUCCCAGGGAACAACUUUAUAGAUAAAUACUUCAAAAUGAACAGGCCCCCCCACCAGCCCCCACGAUAUACACUCGCCCCGAACGUUCACCGUUCAACGUGCGAGUCUCAAGCACCGCAUUUCGCUAAUAGAACCCCUCAGAUCAUUAUCAAAGCACUAUUUGGCUCUCUGCAAUAUUUUAAUUAGUUUAUAGUCUCUAUUUAACCCAUCAGGGGCUCUUUGAAGCCCUCUGUUUUAGUGUUUAAGUCCACUGAUGAGCAAAGUGUAAAUGAACACACACAAGCCCACCACCCACCACCCCUCGGUGUGUUUUUUUCCAACGCUGUCUACCCAGACCCUGUCUCGCUUGCAUCUCCUUUCUCCCUUUAGUCCCUCCUCCUUAUGUUUUUUGCCCAUUGAAAUCCAGUUAAUUGAAGGGGUCUUUCACCACCACACAUGAAGAGGGCCUGAAUUAGCAUCCCUUUCUGCCCAUUGGAAAAGCUCACAUGUGGACGUUCCACGCUUUGAUGUGAGAAGCACGCUUUUCUCUGCGCAAGGCGGCAGGCUUCCUGAAAUGGGCCUGAAAUGAGCUGAUGAGCCCGCUGUUAGGGCCCAAAUGUAGAUGCGUCCAUGUGUUGCAAAACGCUUAAUCUUUUAAUUGAUCACCUUCCGCAUGGCCUAUUCUCUGUGCCGCCCCCCCCACCCCUACUCUUUUACGUUAAUCAGAAUCACAUUUUGAAAAUGACCUGAAUUGCUUUUCAAAGGGACAUGGGGGGGGGGGGGGGUUUGAGGGGAGCGUGGCAUAUCCUGUUUUAGAAAGGAGAAUGGAAAGCUUUGCGCGAGGAAGAGAUUAAAUGCACAAAUGCACACUCGUAGAGCUGUGUCUCUUAAUGCCUGCUUAAAUGGAUUUGAUUACAACAAAAAACAUGUAAUACAAUAUUUAACAUUUUCUGUUUGUGUGUUUGUCUGUGUGUCUGUGUGUGUGUGUGUGUGUGUGUGUGUGUGUGUGUGUGUGUGUGUGUGUGUGUGUGUGUGUGUGUGUGUGUGUGUGUGUGUGUGCGCGAGAGACAGGAUAGAGACAUGCCUAUUUGAGAGAACAGCUUGUAUUGAGAAAGAAGCAGAUAUUCUUGUAUUUUUAUUUUUAUGGAGGCAGAUCAAAGUUGUGCAACAGCAAAUUGACCAGGAAAGUAUGUAUGGAGUUAGUGUGCUUGAUGGAAGGGAGAGGGAGAGGGGAGGGGCUUGCGUGUAUGUGCACGGACUGGCAUUCUGCAUCCCUUGUUUUAUAGAAAGUGCAUACAAUAUACAGUUAUAUACAUAUUUUUAAAGAAUAUAAAUUGAAAUUAUUUAUAACAACUAAAGAUACAAUUGGCAGUGCUUAUCAAAAAAUAUGGUUUACUGGUAUAUGGAUCUCCAUUUGCUAUAUUCAUUUUAUAUAAAUUAAAUGUUUGGAAUAUCUGAUACAUUUUUUUAUUUAUUAAUGCAUUAUUUUUGUUUCUCUAAGUUGCUUUAGUCUCUAAUUAAGUAAAUUAAGCUACAUUAAUAUAGCAAUAUCAACGUAACGUAACUCAUUAAAAGGCAAUAAAGGCUUAAAAAUAAUUGCACUAGGGCAUAUCCUUCAUUCUCUUUUAAUUUUGACGCAAAAAUAUUUUUCCUCAACAGUUAUCUCCUUUUUUAUCAAAGGCUUAUCAAUUAAUUUAGAUGACCUAUUAUCAGUGGUAUCUCUAUACUUAAUACUGCAUUUUUUAAAUAGGCUUCUCUUAACGCAAAAUGUUCAAAAAAUAUUUCCGAAUCCCAAGGCAGCUAUACCCACCAACGAAGUCUAUUGUCCUAUUGUAAUUUAUAGGCCUAUUAUGAUUUUUAUUCCCAAAUUACUGCAAGCAGUCCCAAAAUGUGUAUAGGCCUAUCUGUAUUGUUACUGUCAUGGUGGGCUGAAACGGC
ensembl:lncRNA